UCCCUGGUGCCCGGGUCCUCGUCGGUCAGGGCCGCGUCGCCGAAGAAGUCGCCGUCGGCCAGCACCCCGUGGUCGGUCUCGGUGUCGUAGGCGCCGGCGCCGCGCCUGGCCAGCUUGCCGUGGGCGAUGAGGACGACGGAGUCCGCGGUCGCGCCCUGCUCGACGACGACGUCACCGGGCGCGAAGUCCCGCUGCACGCACGCCGCGGCCAGUUCCCGCAGCACGUCCUCGUCCUGGAAUCCGGCGAGCGCGGGCAAUUCGCCGAGUUCCGCCGGGAUGACGCGCACCUGCGCGCCCGUCGAGUCGAAUUCCACCCGCCCGUUGCCGACGGUGUGGGUCAGCCGGCGGUUCACGCGGAACGUUCCGCCGGAGACCUGCACCCACGGCAGCACCCGCAGCAGCCACCGUGAGGUGAUCCCCUGCAUUUGCGGCGGCGUCUUCGUGGUCGUCGCGAGAUUGCGCGCCGCCGCCGUGUCCAGGCUGAGCCUGGGGUGCGCCGA
rnacentral:antisense_RNA from 1 species